UACGGGGGGAGCAAGCGUUGUCCGGAAUCAUUGGGCGUAAAGCGCGUGUAGGCGGCCAGAAAAGUCCGCUGUGAAAACUCGAGGCUCAACUUCGAGCUGUCGGUGGAAACUUUCUGGCUAGAGUCCGGAAGAGGAGAAUGGAAUUCCUGGUGUAGCGGUGAAAUGCGCAGAUAUCAGGAAGAACACCCGUGGCGAAGGCGGUUCUCUGGGACGGUACUGACGCUGAGACGCGAAAGCGUGGGGAGCGAACAGG
rnacentral:rRNA from 1 species